AAAGUGGCGCACGGGUGCGUAACGCGUAUGCAACCUACCUUAAUCAGGGGGAUAGCCCGAAGAAAUUCGGAUUAACACCGCAUAAAAACACAGGAUAGCAUUAUCCAAUGUUCAAAUAUUUAUAGGAUUAAGAUGGGCAUGCGUGUCAUUAGCUAGUUGGCGGGGUAACGGCCCACCAAGGCGACGAUGACUAGGGGAUCUGAGAGGAUGACCCCCCACACUGGUACUGAGACACGGACCAGACUCCUACGGGAGGCAGCAGUAAGGAAUAUUGGUCAAUGGAGGCAACUCUGAACCAGCCAUGCCGCGUGCAGGAAGACAGCCCUCUGGGUCGUAAACUGCUUUUAUUCGGGAAUAAACCUCAUUACGUGUAAUGAGCUGAAUGUACCGAAGGAAUAAGGAUCGGCUAACUCCGUGCCAGCAGCCGCGGUAAUACGGAGGAUCCAAGCGUUAUCCGGAUUUAUUGGGUUUAAAGGGUGCGUAGGCGGCUUAUUAAGUCAGGGGUGAAAGACGGUGGCUCAACCAUCGCAGUGCCCUUGAUACUGAUGAGCUUGAAUGAACUAGAGGUAGGCGGAAUGUGACAAGUAGCGGUGAAAUGCAUAGAUAUGUCACAGAACACCGAUUGCGAAGGCAGCUUACUAUGGUUUUAUUGACGCUGAGGCACGAAAGCGUGGGGAUCAAACAGGAUUAGAUACCCUGGUAGUCCACGCCCUAAACGAUGAAUACUCGCUGUUAGCGAUAUACAGUUAGCGGCUAAGCGAAAGCGUUAAGUAUUCCACCUGGGGAGUACGCCCGCAAGGGUGAAACUCAAAGGAAUUGACGGGGGCCCGCACAAGCGGAGGAGCAUGUGGUUUAAUUCGAUGAUACGCGAGGAACCUUACCCGGGCUUGAAAGUUACUGAAUGAUCUAGAGAUAGGUCAGUCCGCAAGGACAGGAAACUAGGUGCUGCAUGGCUGUCGUCAGCUCGUGCCGUGAGGUGUUGGGUUAAGUCC
rnacentral:rRNA from 1 species